rnacentral:lncRNA from 1 species
UCAGCCCUCCUCAAAUACUCCACAAACUUCUGGGUAAUUGCUUCCUUAAUUUUUGAACUCUUCUCAUACUUCGGAUGAGUUUUAAAAUACUCCAAAGCAUUAUAUAGAGAGAGAACACCUUUGCAUAAUUUCUAGUAUUAUCUUCCUCGACUGCUUGCUUCACAUAAUCUACUGCCAGCUCCUUGAAAUUGUUAUACAUCUUUUAGUCUCAAACCUCAUGCAAAAUUCAAAGCUUGAAACUUUGUACCUUUUACACCUCAUAUUAACUUAGUUUACAAUUAUCGUAACAAUGAUGAAUGCUUUGUCUUACACAUCUUGAACCUUGAUAUGGAAGGAAAAGUUGUUACUACUGGCAAUCAAUUUAAAAGACAAAGCAAAUAGAUAAUUGAGAAGUUGAAACCAAGAAAGGGAAAUUGACCAUCUGUUGUAAUCCUUUUUUGGUUAAUAGCCAAGUCAACUAUAAUGAAAAGUUCAACAGUAAUGUUUUUUUUCGUCAUAAUUAUUAAAUGAAUGGACCUUACUACUUUUACGGGUUAGGCUCUGCGUCUUAGAAUUAUCUUCCAAUGGACUUCACUACUAUUUCUGCAGUAACAUAUAAGUAUUUUAUUCCAGAAUUUUGAAGAAGAAAAACAAAACCAUCUAGAAAUUGGAUAGUGCAAUCACUCGAAUAUGCAUAUCGGAUCCAAAUAAAUCCAGAGACUAUAGAUAACAUAUAAAGAAUAAAACUUAAAUUUUCUCCACGUAUGAGAAAGGCUCGAAUUCAUCUCAGUUAUUAGUAUUCAUAUAUCUAUGAAUCAAGUCAUCAGUGACUGUUAAAUUGGGAAAAACACAAACCUUAAAAAUCAAAAUAGAAAAUGCACUUCUCUUUGGUUCUUUUUUAGGAUUUGGAUGAUGAAUUCUUAAUUAGCCUGAAAUUGCAGGAAGCAAAAUUUAUCAGCUUAAUUAGUAGCUUACAUGGUUAUCAAUAAAUAAAUAAUUAUAGUGCUACAUGUAGAAGUAGUUUCAUUAAAUUGUAAGUCAUAUGCAAGCAUAACGGAGUAACCGAAGACCCGGGACAUCAAGCACAAUGAAUGAGAAGAGAUUUAGUCUUUUUGUUUAAGUGAUUGCAUUUAUACUGUAGAAACAAUAGAAAGAUGAUACUUGUUCCUUUCUCUUUGUCCAUUCAAGGAAGACUAUAGUCCUCAUUUCUUAUAAUAGACCUGCAAAAUGGUAUCCGCAACAGAGACAAUGACCAACCUACUCACGUAGCAAUUAUAGCAAUCUGAAAAAUGACUUCUAAAUUCUCCUUCUCCCACAAUCCCCCUUUGAAAAUUAAUGACACAUGACGUUGUUGUUUUCGCUUUUAUCACCAUUACUGCUCCUAUAAAUUUGAAGAAAAAAUAACCAUUUUUAGCUAAAGAGUUCGAAUACUAUCCAAUUGUAUUUAGGCAUAUCAUUGAGCAACUUGGGUGCAACAAAGUUUUUCUAUUUUCAUUAAUUAUUUUUCUAGAUUUUGACUUCAAUGUCGUUAGCUAUACACAUGUCAUAUUAUCUAGAUAUUAUGUUUAGGCGGUGCAUUUUUUCCCAGCGUCUAAAAAAUUUAAUAGCAUAAAAUAAGUCCUAGUAAUCUUUAAUAUAUAAAUUGAUUUCUAUUAGACAUUCAUCUCACAGAGUGAAGUACAUGGUUCACUCCUGGCCAAUAGUUAAAUUUUGGUUUUACCUCAAGCAAAUAUUUUGAAUAUGAACUUGAGCACUUAACCCUAAAUAUGCAAUAUGUACUUAAUAGGAAGGCAUAUAAUCAAAGACGAUGAGUGCAUAAUCCACAAGACUAGGGAUAAACCACCCUUCACAGUACUUCAUUUUCACAACGAAGGAUAAAUCACCAUUCACAGUACUUCAUUUUCAAGACGAGGGAUAAACCACCCUUUACAUUACUUGGUUAAUUGGAGAAACAAGAAAAAAACUAAUUUCACAGAAUCAAAAGUCAAUUUUGCACAUAUAGAUAAAAAAACCAAAUCUAAUUUCUUAUAGAAACUCAAUUCCACACAAAUUCUGCACUAUCGACUAUACCUACCCACUUCAAGCUAAAUUGCACUAUAGUUUUAUUAAAAAAAUAUAUUUUUUCCGUUGUUGUUUCCUUUCUUCCACACACUAACACACCACGACGAUAUUACCUAAGCUUCUUAUAGUAAUAGUGUAGAAUUAAACCACUUAGGACUACUUUUUUCAACUUAUGAAUCACUAAUUAUAAUGAGAAAAUGGAAAUAGAGCAUCAAAAUUAAGAAGAAUUGAAGGCAAAAGGAUGAAAAUUUUACCUUCGAUCACUCAAUUUCGAACUCAAAAUGCCUCUAUUACGACACUCAGAACUUGGCGUAAAAGGAAUUUGAAGAAAGAACGAAGUUGGCGCGCCUCUUUAGAGUUAAACAGCAAAUCGAUGGCUGAAGCCUUGGGUACAACGAAGGAGGAUAAUGACUCACAAAUUUACCAUGGAUUGACAGUAUAGGCGGUGAAACAUGCACUAAAACACUUGGAGGAGGAUAACGACUCACAAUUUUGCCUCUUAGAUUUUGAGGAAGUGACAGUGUAUGAAGUGGCAAAACACACGGAGAUGAAAUUUCUAUCAGAUAAUUGUGUGAUAUUCUC